AACGAACGCUGGCGGCGCGCCUAAUACAUGCAAGUCGAGCGAGAAGACGUAGCAAUACGUUUGUAAAGCGGCGAACGGGUGAGGAAUACAUGGGUAACCUACCCUAGAGUGGGGAAUAACUAGCCGAAAGGUUAGCUAAUACCGCGUACGCUCCUUGGACUUCGGUUCAGGGAGGAAAGCGAUACCGGUGGGUAUCGCGCUCUUGGAUGGGCUCAUGUCCUAUCAGCUUGUUGGGAGGUAACGGCUCACCAAGGCUUCGACGGGUAGCUGGUCUGAGAGGACGAUCAGCCACACUGGCACUGCGACACGGGCCAGACUCCUACGGGAGGCAGCAGGUAAGGAAUAUUGCGCAAGUGGGACGAAAGCCUGACGCAGCGACGCCGCGGUGGGGGAUGAAGGUC
rnacentral:rRNA from 1 species